rnacentral:sRNA from 1 species
CUGCAGGUGUUGAGAGCAGACCGCGGGU